rnacentral:lncRNA from 10 species
UGUGACAUGUUACCAUGUUCAACAGCUAAAUGAUGUGACUCUUUUCUCCUGAGUGAGCCCUACUCAUAAGCCUUGAACCCAGAUGAUUUAACUCUCCUAUCUGGGCUUCGCCUAUGGAGAACACUGUGACAUACCUCUGCACCCAUCAUCUAGGUGAUGUGACUCUCCUCUCCUGCCUGGUUCUGGCUCACAGAAGGGAAUGUAACAUGUCUCUGGAUCCAGCACCUAGGUGGGAUUGUGACAUACCUAGGCCUAGCUCACAGGUGUGAUGAUGACUGUCAUAUGUGGACCCAACCAACAGAAAAGAUUUUGACUCUCAUGGCUAGAAUUAGGGGAAUAGAUUCAGGGAAUACACCUGCAGAUUGGUAGCAUAGGUAUACUGCAUGGUGUUGAAGUUUGGACACUUUUAACUAUCCCAUUGCCCAAGCAGUGUACACUACACAUGGGUUUUUCUUCGAUAUAAAUUCUCUGAUGUUGAACAAAGUUUGAGCAAUUGCCUCAGGGUUUGCUCUAAUACAGAAUGAAUACAACAAGAUCUGUGUUACAAGUAAAGUUACCACAACUUCGUUUAUAUUUGUAAUGUUUGUCUUCAAAAUAAAUCCUCUUCAGCACUUUAAA